rnacentral:tRNA from 1 species
GGGGUCUUAGCUCAGUUGGUAGAGCGGCAGUCUGGCAGACUGUAGGUCACGGGUUCGAUUCCCGUAGAUUCCAC